rnacentral:ncRNA from 1 species
AUCUCAUGCAGAGUGGCUGAGGGUAACGGGCCCGUAGAAGCCACGACAACCGGAUCAGGAAAGCCUGAUCGCCUGGUGCCAAUUCCCGCCCGGUUUGCGGGGGACAUGAGAU